rnacentral:tRNA from 1 species
GUGUGGCUCAGUUGGUAGAGUGCUUGCUUAGCAUGCAUGAAAUCCUGGGUUCAGUUUCCAGCAC